ACAGUGGAAGUCUAUGGCACAGAGGAAUAAACUAAACCAGGGACAGGAUACGCUGACAUUACAGGGAAUUAACGAAAUUCAUUGUUGAUUUUAGACUUUGUAUGGGAUUUGUGGAAAAUAACAGAAACAUAGAAAGUCACUGACCUUAUCCUAAGUAAAACUUUAAGGAGAAACUACUGCUAUCCUGUAAUUAGUUUUACAAAGGCCUUGAAAACGUUCCUGUUCAAGCUUCAGUGUGGGAGCAGCAGCACACUAAAACCUUGAACAUUAUUAAUGCAAAACCGUUUCUUUUGUGAACACCUGUGUGAAGACUUCAACUACAGUAAUUCUGAACCUCCUACUGACAGCAUGUCCCAGCUGCUUUCUUUGUAUUUCUUGUCUAAUUUUCACAGGGAGUGAAGAUUGAUUUUGUCCCUGAAUGCUAUUUUUCCCCUCCAAUGGGUGAAAGUGAUAAGUUACAAUUUACAAAUCUGAAUUUUCACUUGUACUUAAAUAUCACUUAUUUCCAGUAGGCUAUUGCCUUACAUUUAUAGUCACAUCUUUAACAGAAUACAGUCAAAAGUCAUGCAAAGUAGUCAGAAUAAACCAUCUGAGAAACGAAUCAAACAGUGUGGUUGACUGUAUCUGCAGGAUCGAAAUGUUACUCAGUACUCAGCUGAACACUGGAUUAUCCAACAUCAGUAUCAUCAACACUGUCUCCAUGUACACAGGUACAUCAAGCCUGGACUUGUCUUGGUAUUUUAUGACUAGCACAAAAUAUGUUGUCACUUAUAUGUUUGUGGUUAUGUUUAGCAUUACCCGGGUAUAAAAAGGUGGCGCCUACACUAAUUAAUCACUGAUUUAAAGCCAAGGGAAGUAAAUCAAACGCAAAUAAAGUUUGGUGACCAACAGGUGCAUGCUGGGUAGAGUCAAAUGUAAGUGAUGGAUUCUUCGGCAGUGACUUCGCAGUGUGCGUCAGGCCUGUGUGGUUUUCGUAGUCCCCAUCACAGCUGUGAUUACAGAGCGCACACGCAGCGCGAACGUUUGAAGAACUUUGAACUUUGAGUAGCGGAGGAAAGGCCGAGAGGUUGACUGGACUGGACUGGACUGGUUAGCAGAACGUCUUGGUGUCCAGUGAUUCGAACUGGUAUCUGGCAGCAGUUGGUCAUUGUUACGAAUCAAGAGAUGAGUUUCUGAGUGAUGCCGUCAGCAAGAUAUGCAUGCAGGCAGGGGGCAGACAAAGACCCAAAAUGACUGAAAACAUAUGAGGAGAACCGGCAAGCGUGCGCUGAGGUUGCGAGAAGCCCUACCAUUCCCUCUAAUAAGCCCCUGUGGGACCUGGAUGAACACUGCUGAAAGUACAGGCAAGCCGUCUGCAAGUCAGAGUGCCAGAUACUUUAGGUUAUUGCCAGACGCAGCAGGAUUACACUAAGAUGUCAGAUUCAAUAAUGGCUCGGCACUCAGUGCAGCACAAAGUGUUUCUUGCACAAGAGAUUUUGUAUUGUGUGAUGCCAAGUUAUUGGUAAAGACCAAUCCAGUACACAAUUUCCUUAAGCUGUCACGGUUUGUCAUGGUAUGUCAUUCACUUACCAGGGAACUUGACAGAGCUCUCAACCUUUUCAUCAUGUCUGUCUUUGGAGCAGUAAAGUGGUGCAUAUAUCGUACAUACUGUAUAUUGUAGACAUUAGAGUAAAUCAUCAUUUGA